UGGGGAAUAUUGGACAAUGGGGGCAACCCUGAUCCAGCCAUGCCGCGUGUGUGAAGAAGGCCUUUUGGUUGUAAAGCACUUUAAGCAGUGAAGAAGACUCCAUGGUUAAUACCCAUGGACGAUGACAUUAGCUGCAGAAUAAGCACCGGCUAACUCUGUGCCAGCAGCCGCGGUAAUACAGAGGGCGCAAGCGUUAAUCGGAAUUACUGGGCGUAAAGCGAGCGUAGGUGGCUUGAUAAGUCAGAUGUGAAAGCCCCGGGCUUAACCUGGGAACGGCAUCUGAUACUGUUAGGCUAGAGUAGGUGAGAGGAAGGUAGAAUUCCAGGUGUAGCGGUGAAAUGCGUAGAGAUCUGGAGGAAUACCGAUGGCGAAGGCAGCCUUCUGGCAUCAUACUGACACUGAGGUUCGAAAGCGUGGGUAGCAAACA
rnacentral:rRNA from 1 species